GAUCUAAUAGUUAACUGGAAUAACAAUAAUUUUUCAUAUUAUAAUAGGGUGUUCGAUUCAUCCUUAGAUCU
rfam:Hanseniaspora opuntiae strain AWRI3578 Hanseniaspora_opuntiae_AWRI3578_scaffold228, whole genome shotgun sequence.